CACUGUCGAUUGACCCAAAUGGGUGGGUCUUUCCCUGGAGUUUCAGGAAUGACUGGUUUAGACUGUUGUCAGCUUUACUUGGCAACUCUACCCCUUUGGAAACAAGCAGCUCAGGUUCGCAGCUCUUGGCUGAGCUCCUGGAGCCCAGCCCACAUAUCCCAGAGAGGAUUGUGUUUUUCACGACCCUGCCUUCUGUUAUUUAAAACAAACAAAAAAGACCUUCUCCAUGGAAUUCUGAGGGACCUUUUACCUCUCCUUUAGCUUUAUUUUGCUGCCUUGUGACUAUUCAUAUGACAUUUAUCCAUAAUUAUUAGAAUCUCUUUUUUUAGCAACCAAGUUAGCCUCAUGCUUAAUCCAACUCCUCUUAUUCCUUUUUCUAGCCACCUUGGCUCUUUAUUCCCUCCUUGUUGAUCUUUACGCUAUCCUAAAUUCUGAAGCUGUAGUCCACUAUGUUACUAAUAGCCAAGGGAGAAGAAGUCUGACUAGCUUGGAGAUAAGGUCAUUUGAGGUCCUGCUUGUCAGAUGGAUGCCAGGAUUUUGUGCUUUCCUUAUUUAGAAUCUCAGAGUUGGGAAAACCCUACUAGGAUCUUUGCCAUUCCUAUAUACAAGAUAUCCCAAAAGUCUUACAAUACUAAAGCUUACCAGAGGAGCAGACGGGCAGAUUCUCAGUACUUGAGUUCGCAAUAAUUAUGUUGUUCCCUUUGUCUUUUUCCUCCUCUCAGCCCCACCACAUGUAACCAUACAUCUAUUAUUUUAUCCUUUCAAUAUCCUAAUAAAAUAUUAAGGGAAAAUUCAUUUUAGAAAAUCAUUCUUACUGGAAAAACUAAGCACACAUUCAGGACUUCUCUAAAGACAACUACAAAAUACACUUUACAGAAAUAAAAAAAUGGAUCAUCCUAAGCCCAAUGAAAAUACUAUCUAAAUUAAUUUACAGACAGUACUGACUAAACUACCAAAGAAUUACUUUAUAGAACUAAACAAAAUAAAUUAAUCUAGAGAAAGACAAGAAUCUCAAGAGACAUAAUGAAAAAUGUGAAAGUGAGUGGGCCUGUCAUUAGCAGAAUGCAAACUUCUAUAAAAUAGUAUAAUCAUUCAAAACUAUUUGGUACCAGUUUAAAAUAAGAAAAUGUGAUCGAUGUAACAAUAGGUUAAGGUUAGCUCCAGAUUGAAUAUAUUAGCCUAGUGCCCCAUAAACCCAAGGAUACUGACAACUAGUAAUUGACAAAAAAUUUUGGGGAAGCUAGAAAACAAUCCAGUAAAAAUUAGAUCUAAACAUGUAAGAUAUACCAUGUUGUUUUUCAGUCAUGUACUACCCUUCAUGACCCUAUUUGGUGUUUUCUUGGCAACAAUACAGGAGUGAUUUGCCAUUUUCUUCUCCAGCAGAUCCUUUCUAUCAGGCAAUCAGAUUAAGCGCAUGGUCACAUAGGAAAUAUCUGAGGCGUCAUUUGAAAGGUUUUUCCUGAUUUCAGACCCAAUACUCUAGCCACUGAACCACUGACUGCAUCUAUCUGUUAUCUUUUUGAAGCUUAACAUAUGCUAAUAUAAGCUCUAAACAGAUGUGUGAUCUAAACCUAACAUGUCACAUCAUUUAAAAAAAUAGGAAAUAACUACCCAAAUAUGACUAGAAAAUUAACAAAGCUGAGAAUAAGAGAUGAUUUGAUCAUAAGGUAUUCUGAGAAGUGAAGAUUAGUACAGGAACCCAGGUGAUUCAGGGUGAGACCAAGAAGGCGUAACAAUCUUAUCCACUGGAACUAGGACAAAACCUCAGUUUAGAUACUAGAGAUGAGUGUGCUAGUCCCUAUAAAUAUUUUUUUUAAAAAAAGUAUAUCUAAAGAUCUUUAAGAAGGAAAGAAUAAUGAAUAUGAGCAAAGACUUAAUUUUCCAUAAGAACUACAUGAAUACCUAGAAAAAAUAAAGCAAGAGGUUUAAAAAAAAUUAAAUCAAUAAACAAAUCAAAGAGUGUACGAAAUCUUACCUAAAGGAAUCCCUCAAAACUAGACAAAACAGAAAUCUGUGAUUCUAUGAGACAAGAAAUAUUAAAAUUGGAAAGAUUGAAAAUUGGAAGGAAAAGUAAUAUAUCAGAUAUCAAAAGGAAUUGACUUAGAAAAUAGGUCAAAGAGAGUUAAUUUUUAAAUUGUUGGUCUCCUUAAAAUCCAUGAAUUAAAAUAAAGCCUGGAUACAUUAUUUUUAAAAAUCACAAAUGAAAAUUUUCCAGAAUCAGGGUGCAGAGUAAAGAUAGAAUUUACUACUAAUUACAUUCUGGAGGAAAAAAGAAAUCUCAGGAAUGAUAUAGCCAACAUUUAGAGCUCCCUUGUCCAAGAAAAAAUACUGCAUGGACCCAGAAAGAAACAGUUCAAGAACCAAAAAACCAGAGUCAGGAUCACACAAGAUCUGGCAGUUUCUACUAUAAACAAGAAGAAAUUUUGGAAUGUAAUGUUCCAAAAGGCAAAGGAUACUGCCUUACAACCGGGUAUGACUUAUCCUGUAAAGCAGAGUAUAAUCCUACAGAGGGAAAAUGAUGAACCUUUAAUGGAAAUAUUUCUGAUGAAAAGAUAAGAGCUGAGAAGAAAUUUGAAAAUAUAAACAAGAGUCUAUAGAAACCUAGCAAAGUAAAUUUACUAAAGCAAUUGGAAGAAGCCAUACAAUGAUACAGUGCAAUAAUUUUAAUAGAGAAGAAAUGUGUCCCUUCAAAACCUUAAUGUCUUCAAAGAGUAUUGAGGGAAUUAAAUAAGAAAAAUACAACCUGAGGAUCAGUUGUGAUGUUUUACAGAUUUGAAUGUACAAAGAAGGGAGAAGAGAAUAAAACCUAUUAAUUCUUAUAAGUGUAUGAGAAGAGAGGCAUAUACAUAUGGAGGAAGGGGUAAGAGGGAGUGGGACAUCAAAUGUACUUCAUCUGAAAUGGACAAAGAAGUGGUGAACACAUGCAUGAAUAUAGUGUGAUGUAGAAAUUUAUCAGAUUCAACAGGAAAAUAGGCAUAAAAAACCCUGGGCUUAGGUUAAGAAGGAUGAUAUUGAGGGAACAAAUAGUUGCUAGCAAAAUGAAUUUACUAAUUCAGAAAGAGGAUUAACAAAGGGAAGAGGGGGGAAGAGAGGGAAUGGGUUCUAAGGGGUACCUUUGCCUCUUAGACAAUUGAGGAAUGGCUGCAAAAAAAAUUGUAUAUGAAUAUAAUGGAAUAUUACUAUGUCAUAUGAAAAUAGUAAGACACGAACUAAUGCAGAAUAAAAUAAGCAGAACAGUUUUCCAAUUACAUGUAAAGAUAAUAUUCAACAUCCAUUUUUGUAAGGUUUUUGCGUUCCAAUUUUUUUUCUUCCUCCCCAUUCCCCAAGAUGGCAAACAAUCUGAUACAGGUUAUCAGUCAUUUCAAACACAUUUCCAUAAUAGUUGUGUUGUGAAAGAAAAAGCAGAACAAAAGGAAAAAAACCACUGGGGAAAAAAAGCAAGCAAACAAACAAAAAAAGGUGAAAAUAGUCUGCUUUGAUCUGCAUUCAGUCUCCAUAGUUCUCUCUCUGGAUGCAGAUGGCAUUUUCCAUCUCAAGUUGGAAUCGUCUUGGAUCACUAUAUUGCUGAGAAGGGCUAAGUCUAACAUGAUUGAUCAUCACACAAUCUCGCUGUUAACUAUGUACAAUGUUCUGGUUUUACCCUCUUUACUCAGCAUCAGUUCAUGUAAGUCUCUCCAGGCCUUUCUGAAAUCCUCCUGCUGGUCAUUCCUUACAGAACAAUAAUAUUCCAUAACAUUCAUACACCACAAUUUACCCAGCCAUUCUCCAAUUGAUGAGCACCCAUUCAGUUUCCAGUUUCUGGCUAUUACAAAAAGAGCUGCCACAAACAUUUUGGCACAUACAGGAUCCUUUCCCUUCUUUAGUAUCUCUUUGGGGUAUAAGCCCAGUAGAAACACUGCUGGAUCAAAGGGUAUGCACAGUUUCAUAGCUCUUUGGGCACAGUUCCAAAUUGUUCUCCAGAAUGGUUAGAUCAACUCACAACCCCACCAACAAUGUAUUAGUGUUCCAGUUUUCCCACCUCCCCUUCAACAUUUAUUAUUGUCUUUUCUUGUCUUCUUAGCCAAUCUAAUAAGUAUGAAGUAGUAGUGAGAUCACAUUUUAACAAUAUGCAAAUGUCAUGCCAAAGGAGACAAAUGUCAUGCACAUACAUGAUAUAUACAAUGUGAAUGAAAGAUGAUUUCAAAAGAACGGUGAUGGAGAAUUGUAGAGGGCUCUAAGAGAAUGUGUAAAUUAAGCUGAAUCUUGAAGUAAGUCAGGGAAGCAAAAAGGUAGAGAAAAGGACAAAAGCAUUCCAGGCAUGGGGGACUAAUCAGUACAAAGGCAUGGAGUGGAAAUACGGAGUUUGGUAUGUGAGGAAAAGAGCAGGAAGGCUGAUACAGCUGGAACAUGGCAUUUGGAAGACAGUAAAAUGUAAGACUGUUAAGAUAGGAGGGGACAGGUUAUGAAGGGCUUCUGAUAUCAAGCAGAAUAUUUUGUAUUUGAUCCUAAAGGGAAUAGAGUCACAAGGAUUUCUUAAGUAUUAGGGGAGUAGAUCAGGGUGACAGUCAAAUCUAUACAUAAAAAUCAUUUUGGCAGCUGAAUGGAGGAUGAUUUGGAAUGGAGAGAGAAGAGUUAGGGAUGUCAAACGAGGCGAUUGAAGCCUUGAUGUGUGAGGUGAUGGUGGCCCUUUCUAAAAGAGGAGAGGAAGUGGCAAUGUGAGUAGAGAUAAGAGAAUAUAUUUACUAGAAAUGCUUUGUAGAUAGGCAGAAACAUCAAGAUCUGCUUUGAGUGUGCUGAUUGAUUAUAUGUGAGGAAUCAGAGAUGGCACUGACAUUGGUGAUCUGGGUGUCUAAUAGAUAGCAGUCUAAGUUGUAUGCAUAGUUGCCUCAGGGGAAAACAAAAGAUAUUCCUUGAGAAAAAUAGCAAAGUUAGAAAGGGAAAAAAAUUGGGGAAGAUAAGUCAUUUUUUGGAUAUCACAUAUUAGAGUGGCUGAUGAGACAUCCAAUUUGAGAUAUUCAAAAGACAAUUAAUGAUAGCCUGGAGUUUAGGACCCAGAAUCAUCUUCAUAAAGAUGGUGAUUGAAUCCAUGGAAGCUGAUGAAAUCACCAAGUGAAUCAGUACCGAGGGAGAAAAGAAGACGAGAGCCUUGGGAGACAACUUUGGUUAGAGGAAGUGACUCAGCUAAAAUCCAGUCAGAGAGAUUGAUGAGGAGGCCUUGAAGUAAAAGGAAAAUUAGAGAAACAAACAAUCUAAUGAAAACUAAGAAAGGCAAGGUGUCGAUCAGUAGGGUCAAAGAUGAGAAAAGGGACAAGGAUCAGGUCUGAGAAAGGGCCAAUAGAUGGGACCAUUGAGAACAUCAGUUAUCUGAUCCCCUUAUUCAAUAAACUGGAUUAGUGCCCUGUUCUCAUCACAGUGACAUCCAAAAUCCUGGGUUAGAUUUUUAGAGCUCUUCAUUUCAUAAUCACACCCUCCUCACACACACUGUAUACCCACCCCCAUCACACACACACACACACACCACACACAAAAACACACAGUACACACAUACCAUAGACACAAUACACACACUCCCACAUACCACACACAAAGACACACAACACACAUACACCCCACCCCCACACACACACCCCAGUCUUCUCACACCUCGUCACACACACACCGGUUAUCUCCCGGGCUCUCGGCUCCCACCAGCAUACAACAUCCCAUCUCUCCUAUUCCCUUUGGCUGUCCCUCAUACCUGGGAUGCUCUUUCCCCUCUCUGCUUUGGGACUUCUCUGGCUUCCUUCCAAUCCCAGGUAACACCCCCCUCCCUCGUACAGGAAGCUUUCCCUGGUCUUUCAUAAUUCCAGUGCUUAACCUGUGUUAGUUCUCUCCUGUUUUUCCUGUGCUUGGUUUGUACUUAGUUAUUUGAUUGCCUCCCACCUUUGAUUCUGACCCUCUGCCCUCUGCCUUUUUCUCUGUUGCCAGUGCCUACUUUACAGAAUGCCUCCAACAUGGCAGGCACUUAAUAAAAUGUUUAAUGACUGACUGCCUUGGGAGAGAGCAAUUUCAGUUGAAUGACGAGGUGAAAAGCCCAGAUUGCAAAACUUUUAGAAGAGUGUGAAGAGGAAAUGAAGAAGCAGAGUUGUGGACACUUAUAUUGAACAAAGGCCCAGGCAGCACCAUCUGACCUCUGCAGAAGUUGGGAGGCAAGUGGUGACCCAAGAUUGGGAUUCUGUCAAUUGUUUUUAAUGGAGUCAAAUCCAUGUGUUUAUUUUUUUUUUCUUUAAUCUUGGGCAUUUUCUCUUUCUGUGAACAUAACUUGAAAAAACUAUAGAGCCAAUUUUCAUAUACAGAUGUAUUCCAUAAAUGCUAUACUUUUAAAAUACAUUGCUGCCUUCUAGAUAAUUUAUUCUGCAAUAUAUUAUGCACAGUUGUAAAUAACAUGUAUUGUAACAUCACUUUCAGUUAUGUGUAAAGAAAUAAAUUAAAAUUUUAUAAAUAUGUAAAAAACAUUAAGUGGUGUGAAUGACUUGCAAUCAUUCCAGAAAAUGUACAUGAUGAAAUCAUAGAUUCAAUGUUGUUUUCUCAGCCUUUACCUAAAUAUAUUAGGGUAUUCUACUUUGCCCAUGUGAAAUCUUUGUUUGGUUUUAUUGUGCUCCUAACACUCAAGCUCUGUCAUCACCUUAUCCUUUCAAAUAGUUCAGUUAUUCAUCCUUUGGAACUCAUAUCCUGUCUCAGUCUUACUGACCACCUAGCUCUGACUUCAUUCAUGAAGAAAAUACUCAUAUUUGCUUUAUGACAUGUAUUCUAAUAUAAGUUGCCUUCAAGUAGAGAUAGGCUGCUUUGUCUGGUCCCAGCCUCAAUAAUUUCCAAGAAUUUGUCCCCAAACAUUUAGAAUCUUUACUUGCUAUGGAAAUUAGAUAAAUUAAAGUGGGAAAGGCCAUUUGUUAUGUUUGUUCUACCACAGGCAAGAAUACGUUAAAUUCAGUUCCAUUUAAUAAACAUUUAUUAAAUAUCUAUUAUGUGUUUGGUGUGGCUGAUACAAAGAUAAAAUCAUCACCCAAAGAGAGCUUAGGUUCUACUGGAGGUAUUAAUUUUGAGAUAAUGGGGAUCAGUAGACAACUUACACAGUGACAACAAUUCAACUCACCGUGUCUCCUUCUUGAGAAAACAUCACUUUAAGAAAUUAAACAAAAAAAUAACCUAAUAAGUGUUCUAAAUUCCUGGCAUGAUUAAAAAAGGAUUCCUGGAACAGGAACAAACUGCUAGUUUUUUUUUUUUAAUCAUUAGCAGUUCUGUUGUUAUCUUAUUGCCUCACUGCUCUCUAAACGAAUAAGGCAUUCCCCUCUUUUUAUUGUUCUUUUCCCUAUCUUGGAGGCCAUACUGCCUUUUGUACCCAGUUCCCUAGAAACUGGAAGCAUUUGCAUUGUUUGCUUUAACCUCUUGUGCAAUCCUUCCUGCUGUUGAAAAAGUUCUGAUUCAGUCUGUAAUAGCCAUAAUAAAUAAGGUUAACAUUGCAUCAUCUAAGAAGUUGCAGAAUAGAAAAGUAUUUAAAAACAAGAAAUCUCCUAUCCCACAUCCUUGUGAUUUCAAAUAUAUUUUAGGGAAUAAUACUAUCUUUUAAGUGGAAUUAUUUCUUAGAACAGAACUUUAUGUGACUGAAAUCCUGAUUUCAUUGGUAAGCCAGAUAGGAUCCCUUGUGCCAGAACAAGGCAGACACUGGCUGCUUAAAACUUGGAUUAACAGAAGAAAAAGUGGACAUGAAUAUAUGGAGAAAGUCUCAAGGCAGCUUUUUAGACAGAAGUUCAAGUGUGAUAAAUAUGGUGGUCAGAACUGAAUUUAAACAGGGGAUAAAAUAGAAAUGGUUUGUAGUCCAGAUGUAAAUUGAAAACAAAUUAGCCACUUUCUCAUUUGUGAUCUUACUGGAAAGAGUUCAAAUCAAUCUAUUAAUUUUGAUCAUUCGUUUUCAUCUUUUUGUCAAGAAAAGAUUCUUGAUAAAUUUUAGAUGUAGGAAGAAAGAGUUCUCAUAAUUCAGUCCUUAAAAUGCAUGUGAUAUACAAUGCAUACAUGAGACUGGGAGCACUGAAUCAUACAGCUGAAAGGAGUCUUACUUGAGAAAAGGUACAGUGUACUUGGGGGAAAUUGAAUAAUUACAAAACACAGACCGGGGUGCCAUAUGUUCUAAGGAAACUUGAUACUUAUUUGAUUGUCAUUAAUCUUAGUGGAAAAAAUUAUUGCAAGCAGGUAGGAUGAUGUCAAAAAUUCAUAAAAGUGGGAAUGCUUUAGGUAGAAAUAUUGUGCAUUUUGAUUAGAAGUAUUUAGGAACACUUGGAAUUAGGAUUAGUAAGACUGGGAUAGAAUGGUGAACAUCCUUGGAUAAAUUUGAAACAGCAAUCUGAGAAAGAAUAUUUUAGUAUUUUACCUCAUAUUUGAGUUUUUCUAUAACAAUAUUAAAGCUAGAUAGAGGUUUAAACAAUACCAUUUCCAUAUUUCUUCAGAAUCCUGAUUCUAUGUGUUCUUAAGAGAUUUGUCAUUUUGUCAAAGAUGAAAUUGAAUUUCUUGAAGGAGAUCAAUGCUUUGUUUCAUAUCUGAUUUACUUUAGUGUUUUUUUUUAAAUUAAAAAUAUAGUUCUAUCAUAAUAUCCCAAAGAGAGAUGAUCACAUUUCACCUUAUUUUCUAACUGAAUUUAUCAAAGACCAGCAAAUCUCUAGGGUAUAUAUUAAAAAAAAAUAAAGCAGCUAUGAAAUAUAGAAGAUGGUACAUUUAAUACGCUUCAUGUCAUCUUUAUAUAAGUAAGAAACUUUGACCAGGUUAACUUAUAAAACUUACCUUGGCCUCUCCCUAACACAAGUUCAAAUUGCCUAACUACAAUUAGUCUUGUGUAAGAAUUGAAACUAAUAUAUCACUGAUGGAAAAGAAAUUUUACAUAUUAAUACCAAUUCCAUUUUCCAAGUACAACUGUUAAGAUCUAUUUUCUGCAUGUGUGUGUGUGUGUGUGUGUGUAUGUAUGUGUAUGAAAUCUCUAUACUUUAUACAAACGUCAAAUAAUGUUAAUGUUACCUGCAGCUGUUUUCUUAAUUUGAUUUUUAUCAGAGAUUAGUUAAUUCCAGGCUAAAGAAGACAGGUGUAGAUAUUCAUUAAAAUUGAUUUAGUCUGAAAGUUA